rnacentral:rRNA from 1 species
CUACGUAGCUCAGAGUUUGAUCCUGGCUCAGGAUGAACGCUGGCGGCGUGCCUAAUACAUGCAAGUCGAACGCGAGCACUUGUGCUCGAGUGGCGAACGGGUGAGUAAUACAUAAGUAACCUGCCCUAGACAGGGGGAUAACUAUUGGAAACGAUAGCUAAGACCGCAUAGGUACGGACACUGCAUGGUGACCGUAUUAAAAGUGCCUCAAAGCACUGGUAGAGGAUGGACUUAUGGCGCAUUAGCUGGUUGGCGGGGUAACGGCCCACCAAGGCGACGAUGCGUAGCCGACCUGAGAGGGUGACCGGCCACACUGGGACUGAGACACGGCCCAG